GCUUGUCUCAAAGAUUAAGCCAUGCAUGUCUAAGUAUAAGCAACCUUAUACAGCGAAACUGCGUACAGCUCAUUAUAUCAGCAAUUAUUUAUUUGAAGAUCACCUAUUACAUGGAUAACCGUAGUAAUUCUAGAGCUAAUACAUGCGAAAAGACGCGACUCACGAAGCGUUGUAUUUAUUAGAUACAAAACCAAUGCGGGGCAACCCGGUAUAAGGUGAUUCAUAAUAACUUUGCGAAUCGCAUGGCCUUGCGCCGGCGAUGAAUCAUUCAAAUUUCUGCCCUAUCAACUUUCGAUGGUAAGGUAUUGGCUUACCAUGGUCGCAACGGGUAACGGGGAAUAAGGGUUCGGUUCCGGAGAGGGAGCCUGAGAAAUGGCUACCACAUCCAAGGAAGGCAGCAGG
rnacentral:rRNA from 1 species